UAUUGAAUGUCAAUGUUACGAACUUACCUAAAGAUACAAAAAUAA
rnacentral:sRNA from 1 species